rfam:Oryza sativa Japonica Group DNA, chromosome 1, cultivar: Nipponbare, complete sequence.
CCAAUUGAUCAAGAUGAUCUUAUUGCUUAUAUCAUUAACGGUCUUGAUGCAAACUUUGAUCCUGUUGUCGAGGCUCUCGUCGCUAGGGUUGAACCCAUCACAGUGCAAGAGAUGUAUUCUCAUCUGCUGAACUUUGAGA